GUCGUGAGGCAUGCUGGAGGUAUCAGAAGUGCGAAUGCUGACAUAAGUAACGAUAAAGCGGGUGAAAAGCCCGCUCGCCGGAAGACCAAGGGUUCCUGUCCAACGUUAAUCGGGGCAGGGUGAGUCGACCCCUAAGGCGAGGCCGAAAGGCGUAGUCGAUGGGAAACGGGUUAAUAUUCCCGUACUUGGUGUUACUGCGAAGGGGGGACGGAGAAGGCUAUGUUGGCCGGGCGACGGUUGUCCCGGUUUAAGCGUGUAGGUGUGUGUUCCAGGUAAAUCCGGUUCACUUUAACACUGAGGCGUGA
rnacentral:rRNA from 1 species